rnacentral:rRNA from 1 species
UACAGAGGUGGCAAGCGUUGUUCGGAAUUACUGGGCGUAAAGGGCGCGUAGGCGGUCUUCUAAGUCUUGUGUGAAAUCCCUCGGCUCAACUGAGGAACUGCACGGGAUACUGGAAGACUUGAGUUCGGGAGAGGGAAGCGGAAUUCCGGGUGUAGCGGUGAAAUGCGUAGAUAUUCGCAAGAACACCAGUGGCGAAGGCGGCUCACUGGCCCGGUACUGACGCUGAGGCACGAAAGCGUGGGGAGCAAACAGG